rnacentral:rRNA from 1 species
GAUGAACGCUGGCGGCGUGCCUAAUACAUGCAAGUCGAGCGAACAGACGAGGAGUUUGCUCCUCUGACGUUAGCGGCGGACGGGUGAGUAACACGUGGAUAACCUACCUAUAAGACUGGGAUAACUUCGGGACUCCGGCGCUAAUACCGGAUAAUAUAUUGAACCGCAUGGUUCAAUAGUGAAAGACGGUUUUGCUGUCACUUAUAGAUGGUUCCGCGCCGCAUUAGCUAGUUGGUAAGGUAACGGCUUUCCAAGGCAACGCUGCGUAGCCGACCUGAGAGGGUGAUCGGCCACACUGGAACUGAGGCACGGUCCAGACUCCUACGGGAGGCAGCAGUAGGGAAUCUUCCGCAAUGGGCGAAAGCCUGACGGAGCAACGCCGCGUGAGUGAUGAAGGUCUUCGGAUCGUAAAACUCUGUUAUUAGGGAAGAACAAAUGUGUAAGUAACUAUGCACGUCUUGACGGUACCUAAUCAGAAAGCCACGGCUAACUACGUG